rnacentral:lncRNA from 10 species
UGACAGGGCCACCCCCUGGCCUUCCAGCUCUCAGCCCUCAGGUCCCGAGAGCCCCGGCCCAGAGCGGCCUCUGCUGGACAGUCAGGACGCGAGACCCUGGAUUCGGUGUUCCCUCGGAGAACCGACGCAUGUUCCAAGAAUGAGGACCUUCUUCAUUUGUCCAAACACUUCUGCGUGUACAUAGUAAACCCCCAUCCACAUUCAACCCGGCUGAGUUUCCUGGGGCCUGAACCGGGAUGUCUGCCGCUGUAUUCAGCUUCUUACUAGAAGAAAAUACUAAUGUCAGAUGCCAGGAAGUCAGAAGGGGAGCCCAGAAGUCUGGCUUAAUCCAUCUUUCGGAGGCUUCCGAACACAUCACUUCAUGGAUUAUGCAAAGAGUACCUUUUCAAAGCAUACAGGGUGAUGGAUCUAUUGUGUGCCGAUGCUUCUUAAGGAGAG